UUUUAUGGAGAGUUUGAUCCUGGCUCAGGAUGAACGCUGGCGGCGUGCCUAAUACAUGCAAGUCGAGCGAACAGACGAGGAGCUUGCUCCUCUGACGUUAGCGGCGGACGGGUGAGUAACACGUGGAUAACCUACCUAUAAGACUGGGAUAACUUCGGGAAACCGGAGCUAAUACCGGAUAAUAUAUUGAACCGCAUGGUUCAAUAGUGAAAGACGGUUUUGCUGUCACUUAUAGAUGGAUCCGCGCCGCAUUAGCUAGUUGGUAAGGUAACGGCUUACCAAGGCAACGAUGCGUAGCCGACCUGAGAGGGUGAUCGGCCACACUGGAACUGAGACACGGUCCAGACUCCUACGGGAGGCAGCAGUAGGGAAUCUUCCGCAAUGGGCGAAAGCCUGACGGAGCAACGCCGCGUGAGUGAUGAAGGUCUUCGGAUCGUAAAAAUCUGUUAUUAGGGAAGAACAAAUGAGUAAGUAACUAUGCACGUCUUGACGGUACCUAACCAGAAAGACACGGCUAACUAAGUGACA
rnacentral:rRNA from 1 species